UUCUCCCCGAAAUGCAUUUAGGUGCAGCGUCGUGUGUUUCUUGCCGGAGGUAGAGCACUGGAUAGGCGAUGGGCCCUACCGGGUUACUGACCUUAGCCAAACUCCGAAUGCCGGUAAGUGAGAGCACGGCAGUGAGACUGUGGGGGAUAAGCUCCAUGGUCGAGAGGGAAACAGCCCAGAGCAUCGACUAAGGCCCCUAAGCGUACGCUAAGUGGGAAAGGAUGUGGAGUCGCAGAGACAACCAGGAGGUUGGCUUAGAAGCAGCCACCCUUGAAAGAGUGCGUAAUAGCUCACUGGUCAAGUGAUUCCGCGCCGACAAUGUAGCGGGGCUCAAGCGUACCGCCGAAGUCGUGUCAUUGCAGCAAUAGGGCCAACGCCCGCUGUGAUGGGUAGGGGAGCGUCGUGUGCCGGGUGAAGCAGCAGCGGAAGCUAGUUGUGGACGGUUCACGAGUG
rnacentral:ncRNA from 1 species